UGCAAUCAAUGAUGAUUUUUUUUCAUAAUUAUUGAUUGAACAAUGAUUAAUACAAAAACAUCUCCAUCUUUCGAUUGAGAUUGCA
rfam:Capsicum annuum cultivar Zunla-1 chromosome 6, whole genome shotgun sequence